UUCAAUUCUGCCUUUUCUUGUUAGACUUAUGUUUCCAUGGUACUGGAAUACAGAAUUAAGGAGAGGAGGUGGGGCCCCCAAUCCACUAGUUUGCCAAAGUGUGGUUUUGAUCAUCCAGACAUCGGUGUGUCUCUGUAGCUUUCAUCCGUCUAUGUAAGGAAUGGAGCACAUGGAGUUGUUUCCUUACUCUAGCUAACCCCAGCUCUGGGGAUAUUUCCUCAACUUCAUCCUGUUUGGUGCAUCCUGUUUGGUGCCUGAUUUGGACUCUGAGUUCUGUAACCCCAGCAAAUAACUCGGAGCCCUAUAACCCCCACAUCUCCUGAUAAAGAGUAAAUUUAAUAACUUGGUGGAGGAAAUAUCUACGAGAUGGAAAAGGUAGCGAAAUAUGGGGUUGUACCAAGUUUUCGAUUUAUGUCCUAUACCUGACCCCUAUGAGCAUCAACAAUCCGAAGAACGGGGUCCCACUCUCCCAUUGAUGGAGCAGCAGGCUGAACAUGCACACUUCCACUCAACCCAUUUCCUAUGGGACUGCUGGAACUAGCUAACUAGAACCUAUUUCUAAGACACCCCUCCAUGGUGGAAGGUUCCUUAAAUUCCCUGUGGUGGCCAGCCAUAUGCUGGAGAAAGGGAGAAGCUGGCAAAUCCUGAGAGAGGAGGCUUGACAAGGAGUUCUCAGGCACCCGAGCCGUGGCAAGCCGAAGCUUGAUAGCAAAGAUUAUUUGAUGACUAUAUAUAAAAAACUGAAGAAGGAAGACUGGGAUCCAGAAUGAAAUCAUACAGGAGUAUACAGCUACCUGUCCAUAUUAUAGACCAGUUGUGUUACAGCCUAUUGGACAAAAUCAUUUAUUGUAAAAAGAAGAAUAUUUAUUUAUGAAUAUAAUUGUUUCUGCCUUCAAGUCUAUUCUUGUAAUUGCCAAGCAUACUGGGUCAUCAAGUGAAGUGUUGUAAACAUCAAGCUAACUAUGUAAGGAAAUCUGCAAGGAACCACAGCUAGCAAACUCAGAAACUACUACCCGUCUUCCUUAAUCACUACAGUGAAUGAAGCUAAGGCUACCCUUAGAUUCUUCAGCAAAGCCUGACACAAGGCUAGGUGGACUUGGCUGUAGAGACUCAGGUUACAGCUGCAGAGUAAGGUAGCAGAAAACGGAUGUAUGCUCGCUAGAAGCAGGGCUAUCAGAAGGACCAAGGGGCAAAGAAUAGUAGACAAGCAGGUCAGAACCAGGAGAGAUGGAUAAAACCAAAACAGCAGACAAGGGGUUAAUCCAGAAAACAAGCCAAGUUAAAUCCACAGAGGGAUACCAAGCAAGUCUUAAGUUCAAGUACAAACACAGAGUUACAAACAGAGCCAUGACACUUCACACCAUCACAGGCAAUAGCCAUUACCGAGUAGCAGUCUUAAUUCCCCCACCUAGCUCUGGGAUUGGAUGCUGAGCCAGAAGCCUGAUUAGCUCUUCUUCCAGGCUCAAUUAUAGGUCAAUGAUGGCUGGGGUUUAACAGGCCACCAUGGUAACCCUCCCAGAACAGCCACCAACAAUAGCUUGGCUAGGUAAACUCAUAAACUUGUCUUUACCUUGAAUCAUGCAAGCCGCUUCCGUGAAGAAAAUGUUUCUGGUUUAGCACAAUUGCACCAUCAAUGAUCUAUUAAAUGGGAUUCCCCCUUACAAAUGGCAUCACAAACAGGACGAGUUUCCAUGGCCCCAUCCCUGAAACAUUCAUGAACAUGUCCACUUGUCCUCAUGAUGGUGUUCCAGGAAAUCAAUAAAUAUAUUAUGGACUUGUUGAGAGAGAUUUCUAGGGAGAAUGUCCAGCUAAAAAGGGCCAACACAAACAAUGGAAGCAGUAAAUGGAAAGGAAAAUCUGUAAUUACAGUGUUCGCCGCUGCAAGGUCGACGGGGAGCAGGUAAAUAACAAAGAGAAUGCAGUGCUCUCACAAGCUCUGUGGUCUCUUCAAACUGCUGAUCACUGGUGAUGCUGGGAGUCAAACCGCGGCCGAUCUGAUAGUUAUGACUUAUCCUGAGA